UUGAUUGACGAAUUUUAUUCCAUAAUGAAAAUUAUAUACAUUUUGCUAUGUCUAGUGGUAAUUUUCUUUUUUAUAACAAUUGUUCAAGCAAACAAUUAUAUUGAUUCACAAGAAUGUUCAAAAAGAGGAGAUAUAUGUAGCAGAAAAUUAAAUAAAAAAUGUUGCACUGGAUUAAAAUGUAGAGUAUUUGGAUCAUUGUCAAAUUUGAAAUUUUGUUCUGAAUUCUGAAAACAAUUACGUACAAUAUUUCAAUCUCAAUAUUGAAGGCAAUGCAAGAUUUUCAAUUUUAACAUUAGUUUCAUUAACUUAUUUUGUAAAUAAUUUAAAUAAGAAUUCUUAAAAUUUAAUUCACAAAUAUGUAAUUUAUUUUAAGCUUUAAAAUAUUUAUUAUUUUUUAAUAUUUAAAUAUUUGUAUGUAUAUAAAUGUACGAUAGUGAAUUAAAUUUAUUUUACUAAAACAAAAA